GUCAAGUUUUUCCUUACAAAUCACAAAUAAUAUAUACGUAAACAAGUUCGUACAUUUAUGUUUGCGAUAUGACUAGGUGAGUACCGUUUAACAAAUAGCAUAUUAACGACUAAUAAUACUGCUGAUUGCAUAGGAUAGAAUUAAUUAGAUAAUUAGCAAUUCGCAAACACUGUACGUUAUCGCGUCAAUCUUAUAGGAUUCCCCUUUUGACUUUGGAAUAUUUUCAAUUGAGAAACCGAAUGAUAACUGGAAACGGCAUUUUAACCAUUUUGGUUGGUGGAGAGCAUGAGAUCAUCACGUUGUUUAGGCACCAACACAUGUAAUAUCUCUGACUUAUCGGUACGUUACGACCUAUGCAACUAUUCGAAGCAUUCAAUAACCAAUAUUCCUUUUACUUAUGUUAGAUACACGCGCGUGUUCGUACUCCUUUUAGAGUCAUCGCGAGGUAAGAUCGAAUCUCGCGAAAAUGAUGUUGAUUUAUUAGUCAUCGAUAAAUUCGAUCUAAUACAAUAUCAUCGUACCUUAGAACAAAGCUUCCAAUACUUUUAAGUUUCGAGAUCUACUUUCGAAAAGAAUACUUCUCCGCGAAUCACUCGAAAGUGUCGUGUUAAUUGUUGUCGAUUGAUAAGUAGAAAUCUACGAGUUAAUACAAAUUAAAUAAAAAUAAUAAUCUUCGUAGAUAAUCUUUGUUAAAAUGUUCCCAACAUGAACGUAUAAGUUAGUAUCAUAUUUUAAUAUAAAACUCUAUCAAAAUUUGUACAAAUCUCUGGUUCUAGGGUAAUCACUAAAAUCAAUUUAUUAACGAGUUGAAGAUAGAUUUAUUUUAUUAUUUGUAACGUGUUUUCCGAGAAUUCGUAUCGCAUGACGUCAACCCAUGACGAAAUCGAUCUUAAAGAAUGAAAAAAAAAAAGGAAAAAGAAAAAGUGUAAGCAAUCGUGCAGGAAAUACCGGUGUUAACUCGUAAAAUUGUGCUCGAUGGGAUAAAGAAUCGGUCGCGGAACACGUGUACGAAGAGAGUAUUUUCCAUGAUUCGCGUAAUCGGUCAUCGGCACUCUUAUAUGUGUGUAUAUAUUAUCUUUAUUCGAGAUCAACCGUUUUGCUCGUAUAACGACCGUGGAAAGAAUGCCUUGAACAGUUGCAUUUAUAUUCGAACCAGUUAUUUCAUGAUUUCUAAAUAAAGUUUUCAAUUCCAAAGCUCAAUAUGUAAAUCUAAUAUAUAUAUAUUCGAGGUUGGCAAGAGUAAUUAAAUGAAUAAUAAUAUAAAGUACAAAAACUUCCGACACUGCGUUUAAUGGCUAUUCCAAUAUUAAUCGGUCUUAUCAAGAAAAAUCAUUUUAUCAGUGAAUUAUUGAUUAAAUAUCAUGACGUAUAUUGAGAAAAACACGUCAUGUUCGGCACGGAUCGACAAUAUAUAUUUGAAUCUUGAUGAUAAAGGAAACAAAAGGAUAAGACGUAAAUGUAUAGCUUCGUGUUAUACCGAACGAAUGGGAAAUCACUGGGUAUAAAUAGAGGAUGACUCGCGGUCUGGACUUGCUUGUUGGAUAUCGUUAGUCGAUGAUGAUCGCACCUUCUCGUAGCACAAGUGGAUAUCUAACAUAAGAGCGCAUUGACAAGAUAGAUCGAUGCUCUUACUCGGGAAAAAAAAGACUCGUACGAAAAAAAAGAAAAAAAAAAUGGUUUAAUGCCUUUAAUGGAAACACGUGCCAUCUUUCUUUCGUAACCUAGUCGGUUCGACGUUUAAAAAAUAGACGGAGUCGUAGGGUGAUAUAUGCAUAUAUACAUAUGCAUAUAUGCCUACCUAUAACACGUGACGUCGUGAUAUGUACAUAUAUAUAUAUCUUCUUCAUUUUUUUUUUUUCAAAGUAAUCAUUGUUUAGAUUCUUCGAACGUUUGGAAUAAGGAAAAGAAACUAAACAAACUUUAAAGAGUUGGCUCUCGUUAAAACGAAUAUACAAAUCUCUUUACUAUCCUAUCUUAACCCUGUGCAUUUGAAUUAUCAACACUGCUGGUAUGACAAAAAGAUAAUAAUAAAAAGACACAUAUAUACGAAACGUAGAACAAAUUGUUAACAGAUGUAAGAAGCUUAAAGAUUGUUAUUAGUAUGAUUAAAAGAGAACAAUGAAAA
rnacentral:lncRNA from 1 species